rnacentral:rRNA from 1 species
UACGACGUUGAUAGGCCGGGUGUGUAAGCGCAGCGAUGCGUUGAGCUAACCGGUACUAAUGAACCGUGAGGCUUAACCUUACAACGCCGAAG